rnacentral:rRNA from 1 species
UACGUAGGGUGCAGGCGUUAAUCGGAAUUACUGGGCGUAAAGCGUGCGCAGGCGGUUUGCUAAGACAGGUGUGAAAUCCCCCGGGCUUAACCUGGGAACUGCGCUUGUAACUGGCAAGCUAGAGUGUGGCAGAGGGGGGUGGAAGUUCCACGUGUAGCAGUGAAAUGCGUAGAGAGUGUGGAGGAACACCGAUGGCGAAGGCAGCCCCCUGGGCUAACACUGACGCUCAUGCA